GAGAGUUAAACAGUACGUGAAAUUGUUGAAAGGGAAACGAUUGAAGCCAGUCGUACCUUCGGGUAAUCAGCCUUUCGGGUGCGAUUCUGUGGAGUGUGAGGAGCUUAAACACCUUCAUGUUUUGCAUAUUCGUACUCUUGGGUGUACUUGCCCGUGUGGUUGGUUAACAUCAAUUUCGGUCGUCAUAAAAUGAUUGGAGGAAUGUAGCUUUGGUCUCGUAUCGAAGUGUUAUAGACUCUGGUAGAUGUGACGAUUGGGAUUGAGGAUUGCAACGGAUACCCUUCGGGGCUACUCGUCUGAUCUCUGAAGGUUGCUCCGGUGCCGAAAGCGUGCUUACGGUCAUCGAAAGUGAUUUUCAAAAGGUUAGAACGGGUUAAAUUCGUUAAGGAUGUUGACGUAAUGGCUUUAAACGA
rnacentral:rRNA from 1 species